UGGGGAAUUUUGGACAAUGGGCGAAAGCCUGAUCUAGCAAUGCCGCGUGUGUGAAGAAGGCCUUCGGGUUGUAAAGCACUUUUGUCCGGAAAGAAAUCCUUGGCUCUAAUACAGUCGGGGGAUGACGGUACCGGAAGAAUAAGCACCGGCUAACUACGUGCCAGCAGCCGCGGUAAUACGUAGGGUGCAAGCGUUAAUCGGAAUUACUGGGCGUAAAGCGUGCGCAGGCGGUUUGCUAAGACCGAUGUGAAAUCCCCGGGCUCAACCUGGGAACUGCAUUGGUGACUGGCAGGCUAGAGUAUGGCAGAGGGGGGUAGAAUUCCACGUGUAGCAGUGAAAUGCGUAGAGAUGUGGAGGAAUACCGAUGGCGAAGGCAGCCCCCUGGGCCAAUACUGACGCUCAUGCACGAAAGCGUGGGGGAGCAAACAGGAUUAGAUACCCUGGUAGUCCACGCCCUAAACGAUGUCAACUAGUUGUUGGGGAUUCAUUUCCUUAGUAACGUAGCUAACGCGUGAAGUUGACCGCCUGGGGAGUACGGUCGCAAGAUUAAAACUCAAAGGAAUUGACGGGGUCAUAGCUGUUUCCU
rnacentral:rRNA from 1 species